AUUGAACGCUGGCGGCAGGCCUAACACAUGCAAGUCGAACGAGUGGCGGACGGGUGAGUAAUGUCUGGGAAACUGCCCGAUGGAGGGGGAUAACUACUGGAAACGGUAGCUAAUACCGCAUACCAUCGGAUGUGCCCAGAUGGGAUUAGCUGGUAGGUGAGGUAACGGCUCACCUAGGCGACGAUCCCUAGCUGGGCUGAGAGGAUGACCAGCGACACUGGAACUGAGACACGUGCCAGACUCGUACGGGAGGCAGCAGUGGGGAAUAGUGCACAAGGGGCGAAGGCGUGAGACAGCGAUGCCGCGGGUAUGAAGAAGGCCUUCGGGUUGUAAAGUACUUUCAGCGGGGAGGCGUUACCCGCAGAAGAAGCACCGGCUAACUCCGUGCCAGCAGCCGCGGUAAUUC
rnacentral:rRNA from 1 species